GGGAAGAAAGACUGUGCCGCUGGUCAAUGUGUAGGCUACCCGGUCACGUGGCUUACUUACAAUUGACCAACCAGAGACAGGUCUACAUGAUAGGCUACAGCCUAUUGCAUCAUUAAGAAAAAUAGCGCCAGAACCAAACACCAUGACCAUCCCAUUCCAGUCAUAAUACUCAUAGAUCUACUUCAAGAUUGUGUUGAUUUGUUAUUAACUCGACUCUAUUCUAACAACUUUGGAAUGUGUGCGUCAAGCAAAGGUACUUUUUAUUUUAUUAGACAAUUAGAUCUACUUUAUUAUUUUAUACUUAUUUAUAGAGAUUAAGUCUGGAUAAAUUAAAGUAGAUUAGAUAUACUAUAUAUAUAGAAUCUAGAAUAAUCUAGAUAAUAUAAUUAUUUUAAGUGACGCAAGGAAAGCCGUUUGAAAUAAUAAUUAUAAUAUUAUUAUAAUCAUUCGAAUCCCGUGGCGUGUCUCACAGUUUAUUAGAACCUUAAUAGAUUAGAUUUAGAAAGUCAAUUUAGAAAAGAUAGUAAAACCAAAUUCAACCAUUAAAAUUAAUAUUUUAAAAUACGUGAGUUCUUGAGAUCUAUUUUCAAUUUAAAUGCAAAAUGUAGGCCUAUAAAUACAUUUGUGUAUACUUUUUUGUAGAAGCAAAUCUAACAAUGUUAUACUAUACUAUACUGAAACUAGUCAAUAAUCUUGUCAUUCAAUAUGUUGUGCAGAAUUAAUAAUUUAUCUUUAUAUUGCUUAUGCCUUAUGUAGAUCUAUGUAUUUAAUAUUUCUCAUGUGUGACUUUGAUUUUAAAAAAUUGAAAUGUUAAAAAAAAUGAUUUUCAGACUAUCGGAACCAAAGUUUACCAAAGAGUGAAAGAAUGAUGGCAUCACUAUGAUCACUUCUUGCUGGAUCUGUCCAAGAGUCAAUGAGUACAGGUGGACCAUGUUGGAAAAUAACUUUCAGUCAAGACUCAAGUUGAGACAAGAGCUCAUUGAUGUUAUUGAUCAAACUGAACAUGUUCUAGAGAUACUGGAGAAAAGAUUUGAGUGCAGUACAGACUCAUUUUCAAUUGAAAGCAAUUAAAAGAAGCAGAGAUAAAUACAAUCAGGAUUGGGUAUGAAGCAAAUUUCCCAAUGGCAAAUAAUGUAUAACUGUUGGAAAUAGAAGUGAAACUGAAGGAUGAAGAUUCUCAUGAAAAUUUGAUCUAUCCAGUGAAAACAGCAUUAAGAGAACAAUAGUAUGGAUUAUAACUUGUCUGGACUGGACAUGGCACAAACAGAAAAUAAAUGUAUUGAAUUUUCAAUCCAAAUUAUGGAUAUUAGAUUAUUCAAGUGAGUUACCCAAGUCUGUCAAAUAACUUAGAGAGAAAGUACUUGAACUUGGCACAUGUGAUGGCACAGAAAUCGUAAAAAAAGAAGAAUGAUGGCUUCAACUCUGAAGGAACAUCCCAAACAUGUAAAACAUUUUACAAACAAACCUAAUCAAAGUUUAUAAAUGUUUAAAAAAAGUAAGAUGCACAAGCAAAUUUAUUUACAUACUACAGAUAUUAGAACUAAUGACUAAUGGAAAAAAAAACAACUACCUAUCUAGACUUAACAACAAAGAAAUAAGUAAAUAUAAUAUUUCAAACAUGUGCUGGAUCUUGUUAGUUUAAUAACAUACUAUGUAUGUGCAUUACAUAAAACAUGUAGUGGUUCUUAGUUGUUGAUUACCGGUACUGUGCUUUUUUCAAAUACACAUUAGUUUUGUCAUAUAUUAAUUAUAAAUAUUUAUGUUCACCAUUAAUUAUUUCGUUCAGCUAUAGCAACAUAAGGAAGGCAUGGUGGCUAAGUGGUUAAGCAUUUGGCUUCCAGACCCGAAUUAGAAUCUCAGUGAAAAUUGGGAUUUUUAAGACACCCUAACUCUGGUGGAUACUGGUACCUGAUUUUAGCUGGGGAAAGUAAAGUUGUUUAGCUAGCUACAUGACACCCUGCUUGUUAACCAUUAGCCAAAGAAACUGAUGGCCUUAACAUCAUCUGCCCUAUAGAUGCUAAGUUUGAAAAGGGGAACUUUACUUUUAUUACAACUUAAGGUUAUAAGUUGACAGUUACAGAUGAUGUACCAUAUGAGCAUCAUUGUUGUUUACUGGCUUUUGAACAGUAGCUUGAAACAUUUGCUCUUUCUUACAUAUAAUAUUCACUGUUAAAAAAUUAUGAAUAUGAUAGUGCAGCUAGUUACUCUGCUCAAAAUUGAAAAAAAUAUUUUGUUGAAAUUAUAAACAUGAGCUACCGGUAUAUAUAAAUGUAUAGUUUUCAUUGUUGAGCACACACUUUUUCUUUGGUACUGGGUAACGUACAUGACCUAUAUUUUUUUGAAAUAUUAUCAUCUAAAAUUAGGCGAGGUCUUGAGAAUAUUUACCUCGAACAGACUCAGCUUUGGGUUUUUGUGCAUGUAGACCCUAUUGAUUAAAAAGCACCAUUCUCUAAUUAUAUUUUACUUGUUUAAAUUUAUAUAUUUAUGGUUAUUAAUUAUUCUUUGUAUUUAUUUUUUUAUUUUUUUUUUGUAAAGUAAGCACUGGUAUUUUUCUAAAAGUAUGUUUCACAUUUAUUUCAUUUUAAACAAAUUAAGUCAUUUACUUAAUGUUCAAUUAUGUUCUAAAUGUAUGUUUUUAAAAUUUCAGUGUUUAUAUUGCUAACAUUUCACAAACUUGUUACAGGUAGCUUAUUUUUGUUUUGGUCAUUUUUUCUUUAGAACUACCGGUACAACAUAAUCUGAUGUUAAUUUAAAAAAAAAAAAAUUUGUUUCAUGAUUGUCAAAACAGUUUGCUUUUCAAUUUACAUUCAGCAGGCCCAUACUUUGUUUAGAUAAUUCUGAAUUACAUUCUAUAUAUAAUUUAUAGGUUUCUGUAUAGGCUAUUCAAGCUUUUGUACAUGUUAAAAUUUCAUAAAUUUGGUAGCCAUUAUAUUUUUUUAAAAAUUUUAU